AAUCAACGCUGGCGGCGUGCCUCAGACAUGCAAGUCGAACGCGAAAGUUCCCUUCGGGGGGCGAGUAGAGUGGCGCACGGGUGAGUAACACGUAGGUAAUCUACCUUUGGGUGGGGAAUAACAGCCGGAAACGGCUGCUAAUACCGCAUAAUGCAGCGGCUCGACAUCGAGACAGUUGUUAAAGCGGGGGAUCGCAAGACCUCGCGCCUAAAGAGGAGCCUGCGGCGGAUUAGCUUGUUGGUGAGGUAAUGGCUCACCAAGGCAUCGAUCCGUAGCCGGCCUGAGAGGGCGGUCGGCCACACCGACACUGACAUACGGGUCAGACUCCUACGGGAGGCAGCAGUCGGGUAAUUUUGGGUCAAUGGGCGCAAGCCUGACCCAGCAACGCCGCGUGAAGGAUG
rnacentral:rRNA from 1 species